rnacentral:lncRNA from 1 species
AGCAUCUUGAAGUCUUGAAUACUAACCAUUACUUCUAUUAUUUUUCUUUUACGUUCUAGGCAAUGGUCAGAAAAUAAGUGUGAAAUUCCAAAAAAGACCCUUUUACAAUUCCAGCAUAUCGUGUACGUACCCAUGUAAGACGGCAAGAUAGAAAGUGGCGUGCAUAGGGCUGGUAGAUAAGAUUUUAACUCUCUUCCUGAAUAAGGAGGCAGCAAUGGCGAAGGGGGUUCAUACAAGAAGGGCCCAUGUAUUUGAGUUAAAAUAGUAUUGAUGAUCGGAAUCAUCUAUACCAACGGGAAUGGAGUAAAAUUCCAUGAUCUAAAUAAUAAUCCUGGAAUACUGCCGUACAAAUUAGGAUCGUCGGAGAAAAAGAGCCCACCAACAAGACAGGGGAUCCUACCCCCAAAUCCCCCGAAGCCAGGAUGGACUUUUCAUCUAUCCAGGAGGAGGAGCUGCUAAGGUCCGCCAGCUAAGGUACCAGCCGCCAGCAACUCAGAAGCUGAAGUAAGCGAAAACUCCUCGACCAGGGCAGACCAAAAGGUUUUGACCAGGCGGGAGUUAACGCUACCGAAGUCGAAAAAUCGCUGCGACUCAAGAAAAACAAAGAAGCAGGCAACGAACCGCAACCGCACAAAGAGGCGGAAAGAGGAAAGACAGAGGAAGAAGGCGGAGCGAGAAGCCAACCAGGAGGGAUCAACAGUUCCUCCAGGACUAGCUUCUGCUUCUAGAAAUUCUGUUGUAGAAGGCAGCUCUAAGGGCAACACCAAAAUCUCGAACAGCGGGCAACACCCGAGGACUUGCCAGCUAGUAAAAGGGCGUGGACCAAGGGCAAGAGAUGUAAGGCGAGAGGCAGAUAAGCUGAAGCCAAUCAUCCUGCUUACGGCACCCGCCGCUGUCAGGAAAGGGGACACCCAGCACCGGCGCCUCUAGCAAAAAGAGGCAAAUCAAAAAGGACACUCCACCCGACCGCCAGCAUAAGAAGCCUAGGCAACAGCGCAGGUAUAUCCCUCAAAAAGAUGUGCAGACAGGCGCGUCUCCCCUUCUAAGGAGAGAUACCCAGUCAGGGCAUCCACGAGGGACAAAUGACCAACCCAGUUCCGGCUCCUAUAGCAGGGCAGUCAACAGGGCAAAUCAGGUCGUUUUUAGGUCAGACAGAGAAGGUGGUGGUCAGGUCACCCUGACUAAAGAGGAGACGGACCGGACCGCCUAAGGCUCCAUCUCAUCUCUAAGAUGAGGAGGACCAGGACUGAGCUCCACUCCCGAAACUCCGGACUCACAGAGACUUUUUGGUCACGACGGAGGACGAACCCUCAAAAGACUGGCUUUUGAGCUCCUGUCAACCGCUGACCGAGGGGAGUCACACCUUCACCUUCACGGUGAAGUCAUCCGACGCCCCAUGGACAGGGGAGAUAGUCUUCACUCUGAGGACACCGGAGCGGCCAGACUUAGAGUAUGUCAGGGAAAUCCUUGACAUACAGAAUAGGGCCUUAAGCGUCCCCAGUUGGCAACACCUGAGGACGGAGGGCGAGUCUGGAAGGUUUAACCUUCAUUUCAUGGUGAGUAGGGAGGUUGCUGCUCGACUCGAGGAGGCCAGGUGAACACUCUUCUUCGAAAUGGUCACUGUCCGAGCUUUUCGAGUGACCGUUCGGCGAACGCCCACCAGCCCCAGCACCGCAGCCGUAACCUCCAAGCCACCAAAAGGGAAGUCUUAGGCAGGGAACAAAUAAGAGGACUAGGGGCCACCGGCUUCAAUCUUAUAGCCGGUGGUGAAGGAGACCAGAGGCCCAGAACGUGUCUCUUAGCAUCCAUGGAGCUUUAACUAACACCAUUACCACAAGUAAGCUCCAAGGAUGCUACGGCAGCUCUGCUAGAGUACACGGUACCCAUAAACAUCAAGAAAAUGAGAGAUUUAAAAAAAACUGCAACCUUACCUUGCCGGCUACGAGGCAUUUUAUGACCGGAUUUUUGAAUGGCCUACUACAGAUAGAGAUGCACCACAAUCCAUUGAAGAGAUUUAAAUUUAAACUUUAAGAUGUAUUUUACUCGCGGUUUUAAGAAUAUUUUUUCCUAGUUAUCUAUAAAAUGUAAUAGAAAAAAAAGUGCUGCAAUAUAAAUAACUGACAACAUUAUUUCCUAAUUACUCCAAAAAAACUUCUUAAAAAAAAAAACUUAAAAAAUGUAAAUAAGAUAAGACGUCAGAUGCGCGACGAAUUUUCCCGCCGCAAUGAAAACCAUUCGAUAAAAGAUAUGCACAUAUUCGGAAAAUUUAAAGUUUCCUGAUAUCGUCACUACCAAUUCCUGAUCAUUUCCACCCAUUUUAAGCCGCUAAUUUUCGAAUUGAGAAAGUCGGAUACGCCCGAACAUAGAAUUUGCCGCCGUGACACCGAAAACCCCGCGGUUGCGUCAUCUGGCCAUGUACAGCGCGUUGCGGAAAAACAUUUAAAGAAAAACGGUUUUUAGUGGAUUAUAGCCAGAUAGUGUCCGGUGAUUUCAGAAAAAAAAUGGUUUUCGUAGGUGUCAUAGGUAUGCCGGUAUUAAGCGUCAAAGUUAAAAAAAGGUGUAGAGCAAAAACUACUCUACGUAGGAGGUUGUAGACUAUGUCGAAAAAUAGGAUUUAAAAAGUUCUUAAAACGCUGAAAGUUUAAAAUCUCUAGGUGCCGCCAAUAAAGAGUUAUUAAGAAAAGUGGAAAAAAACGGUCAAAAAAAGGCUCAAAAAGGGGUUUAUAUUUGUUAACACAGCUCACCCUGUAUAAUACGUAGCGCCAUGAAUAAUACCUCUAUUUAAUCCUAAAGGAUUAAGCUUUUAAAUGGUGUAAACAAAAAAAAAAUUUUAGAAGUAGAAAAAAAUUUAUUUCUCAAAAAAUUCAUUAUUUUUUUUUUUUGAAAAAAAAAUUUUUAAGUUUGAGCUCGUUUAUCUCGGAAGAAGUUUCUUUUUGAAAAAAAUAAUUUAACAAAAAAGAAAGCUACAUUUACGUAAAAAAAGGGCUGUUUUGUCCGCAUUUUCUGGAACGUUACCGUUUAGGCCCCACAACCGUUUAAGUCCGCGAGGUACCCCGCAAAAAGUUCAAAAUUCAUUCACAGAAAAAUCCGACUUCUAAAGGGUUUAUCUUAAAAAGCGCCCUUUCAGAGCUGCUUUAUAUAAAGGCCUUUAACGUCAAUGAGUUUCAGAAAAUUCGGCUAGGUCAGUUUUCCAGAACGGCUUAAUCGAAAUGUUUUCGUCAAAAAACCGUUUUUUGCCACGCCCACCCCUUCGGGGUGGAUGUGGCGAAAAAAUUUUUCUACCAUUAUAUACGCUCAUCCUUCUUACAUAAAACGGUAAAAGCCCGAAAAAAAAUUCGCGAUAGAACCAAAGUUAUUAGCGUUUAUGUGACGCAGGGCCGAAAAUCGCCCGAUUUGUCACGAGCACAUAAUAAGAGCUUCGAUUUUAUAAUAAUUAUUCUCCGCAAACGCAGGUAUCAUUUUCGGCUUGUGACAGUUCAUUCAACAUUCUGCCGCUUAUUUAUUAUUAAUAAGAUAAACUAAUAAAAGGUUACUACUGGA